UCGCCUUCUGAACUUAUAGAAGGUCUAGCCUGCCCAGUGACUCUGUUUAACGGCCGCGGUAUCCUAACCGUGCGAAGGUAGCGUAAUCACUUGUUCUUUAAAUGAGGACUAGUAUGAACGGCACCACGAAGGUUACACUGUCUCCUUUCUCUAAUCAGUGAAAUUGAUUUCCCCGUGAAGAAGCGGGAAUAAAUAUAUAAGACGAGAAGACCCUAUGGAGCUUUAAACUAUUAACAAUUAUUUUUAUUUAAUAAACCUCAAGGUUAUAAAAUCAACUUAAAUAUUCUGAUUUUUAGUUUUCGGUUGGGGUGACCACGGAGUAAAACUUAUCCUCCAUGAUGAAUUAGAGCCUGUCUCUAAGCAAAAAACUACAAUUUUAAGCAUCAAAAAAUUGACUCUAUUGACCCAAUAUUUGAUCAACGAACCAAGUUACCCUAGGGAUAACAGCGCAAUCCAUCUUGAGAGCUCAUAUCGACAGAUGGGUUUACGACCUCGAUGUUGGAUCAGGAUAUCCAAGUGGUGCAGCCGCUACUAAAGGUUCGUUUGUUCAACGAUUAAAAUCCU
rnacentral:rRNA from 1 species